UACGAAGGGGGCUAGCGUUGUUCGGAAUCACUGGGCGUAAAGGGCGCGUAGGCGGCCUGCUAAGUCGGAUGUGAAAUCCCUCGGCUCAACCGAGGAACUGCAUCCGAUACUGGCGGGCUUGAAUCCGGGAGAGGGAUGUGGAAUUCCAGGUGUAGCGGUGAAAUGCGUAGAUAUCUGGAGGAACACCGGUGGCGAAGGCGGCCCACUGGUCCGGUACUGACGCUGAGGUGCGAAAGCGUGGGGAGCAAACAGG
rnacentral:rRNA from 1 species